GUCUGUCUGUAGGUGCCUGUCUGUCUGGGUGUCUGUCUGUCUGUAGGUGCCUGUCUGUCUGGGUGUCUGUCUGUCUGUAGGUGCCUGUCUGUCUGGGUGUCUGUCUGUCUGUCUGUGCCUGUCUGUCUGGGUGUCUGUCUGUCUGUAGGUGCCUGUCUGUCUGGGUGUCUGUCUGUCUGUAGGUGCCUGUCUGUCUGGGUGUCUGUCUGUCUGUAGGUGCCUGUCUGUCUGGGUGUCUGUCUGUCUGUAGGUGCCUGUCUGUCUGGGUGUCUGUCUGUCUGUAGGUGCCUGUCUGUCUGGGUGUCUGUCUGUCUGUAGGUGCCUGUCUGUCUGGGUGUCUGUCUGUCUGUAGGUGCCUGUCUGUCUGGGUGUCUGUCUGUCUGUAGGUGCCUGUCUGUCUGGGUGUCUGUCUGUCUGUAGGUGCCUGUCUGUCUGGGUGUCUGUCUGUCUGGGUGUCUGUCUGUCUGUCUGUAGGUGCCUGUCUGUCUGGGUGUCUGUAUGUCUGGGUGUCUGUAUGUCUGGGUGUCUGUAUGUCUGUCUGUAGGUGCCUGUC